GGGGGCGAGGUAGCUGGUGGUUAGCUACGACUGUCUGUAAAACAGUUUCCUCUGGAUGCGUAGGUUCGACACCUACCGCCCCCA
rnacentral:tRNA from 1 species